rnacentral:rRNA from 1 species
UGGGGAAUAUUGCACAAUGGGCGGAAGCCUGAUGCAGCAACGCCGCGUGCGGGAUGACGGCCUUCGGGUUGUAAACCGCUUUCGCCUGUGACGAAGCGUGAGUGACGGUAAUGGGUAAAGAAGCACCGGCUAACUACGUGCCAGCAGCCGCGGCGAUACGUAGGGUGCGAGCGUUGUCCGGAUUUAUUGGGCGUAAAGGGCUCGUAGGUGGUUGAUCGCGUCGGAAGUGUAAUCUUGGGGCUUAACCCUGAGCGUGCUUUCGAUACGGGUUGACUUGAGGAAGGUAGGGGAGAAUGGAAUUCCUGGUGGAGCGGUGGAAUGCGCAGAUAUCAGGAGGAACACCAGUGGCGAAGGCGGUUCUCUGGGCCUUUCCUGACGCUGAGGAGCGAAAGCGUGGGGAGCGAACA